rnacentral:rRNA from 1 species
AUGGCUCAGGAUGAACGCUAGCGGCAGGCUUAACACAUGCAAGUCGAGGGGCAACGCGAGUAGCAAUACUUGGCGGCGACCGGCGCAAGGGUGCGUAACGCGUGAGCAACAUGCCCGUAUCAGGGGGAUAAUCCAGGGAAACUUGGUCUAAUACCCCAUAGUAAUUUUGUAAGGCAUCUUAUAAGAUUUAAAGCUUUGGUGGAUACGGAUUGGCUCGCGUGACAUUAGCUGGAUGGUAAGGUAACGGCUUACCAUGGCUAUGAUGUCUAGGGGUUCUGAGAGGAAGGUCCCCCACACUGGAACUGAGACACGGUCCAGACUCCUACGGGAGGCAGCAGUGAGGAAUAUUGGACAAUGGAUGGAAAUCUGAUCCAGCCAUGCCGCGUGAAAAGGAAGAAGGUCCUAUGGAUUGUAAACUUCUUUUGUAUGGGAGCAAUAAGGCCUACGAGUAGGUUGAUGAGAGUACCAUACGAAUAAGCACCGGCUAACUCCGUGCCAGCCGCCGC